CAUUAGAGAGCUGUAUUAGCAUUAGUCUUUUAAACUAAGGAAAAUAUUUAUAUUUCUAAUGA
rnacentral:tRNA from 1 species